GUUUGAUUAGCUCAGUGGUAGAGCAGCCGAAUUUGAUCGGUGCGACGUGGGUUCAAAUCCUACAUCAAACACCC
rnacentral:tRNA from 1 species